rnacentral:lncRNA from 10 species
UAAAAUAAAAUAAUAAUUUUAAAAAGUUAGAUGGGGUCUUGCUAUUGCCCGGGCUUGUCAUGAACUCCUGGCCACAAGCAAUCCUCCCCUCUCAGCCUCCCAAAGUGCUGGAAUUACAGGCGUGAGCCACUGUGCCCAGCCCCAAUGUUCACUUUUUUAAAAUUAGGUUUACUCUCUCUCACCAUUUGAAUGUCAGCUCUACAAGGACAGCAAUCUGCGUGUUCUAUUCACUACUGAAACUGCACAGCCUGGCAUACAGUAGGUGCUCAAUACUUGUGGAAAUGCAUAAGUGAUAACCUCCACAGAACACUAAGUACAGGCUAGAGCCGGGCUUCAGCAUUUCCUAGGCAUGCAUUUAUUUAAUUACCCCAAGAAGCCCCGUGAGAAAGGUGGUAUUAGAGGCUGGGCAUGGUGGCUCACACCUAUAAUCCCAGCUAUUUGGGAAGCUGAGGUGGGUGGAUCACCUGAGGUCAGGAGUUCGAGACCAGCCUGGCCAACAUGGCGAAACCCCGUCUCUACUAAAAAUUCAGAAAUUAGCCAGGUCUGGUGGUCGGUGCCUGUAAUCCCAGCUACUUGGGAGGCUGAGGCAGGAGAAUCACUUGAACCCGGGAGGUGGAGGUUGCAGUAAGCUGAGAUCGCGCCACUGCACUCCAGCCUGGGAGACAGCGAGACUCGGUCUCAAAAACAACAACAACAAAAAGGUAGUAGUAUUAGGAUCCCAUUUUAUAGACGGGAAAAUUGAGGCAUAGAGCUGUUAGAUUUGAGCCCCCCCACUCCCCUCUCCUCCCCCCACCCCCGCCCCCCCACCACCCCGAGUCCAGCCCCUGUGUGCUACCACCUCUGGCUCUGGACCUGUGGGUUUGUCAACACGUGUUCUUGGCAUGACCAGGUGCAGGAACAUCACACAUACCAGGAGCUUGCACGGGUCUGGGGUGGGGGCCACAUCAGCCUCCGGAACCUGAGCCUGCAGGGCAGCGCGUGCCCCAGUCCCGGGGGCCACAGGAGGGAGCGCGUAGGUAGAGGCGGCGGGUCCAAUCUCCACGCCUUGUUCCCUCUCCGGGAGCCGGCUUCCCUCCCGCCUGCCUCGGCCUGGACCCGGCCCAGCUGCUGACCUCGGGAACUCGAGUGCCCCCAGGGACGCAGACAAUCAAUUAGAAUUGGCAGCGCCUGCCUAAGUAAAAGGCCUGCUUUAAUGAGGAGGCUGUGGCUCUGCCGUGGGCGCAGGCGCUGGGCUGAGCCCGGCGCGGGCUGGAGCUGAGGGGUCACGUGGCCACCAGGGCCCACCUGCCUGUCACAAUUAUGAGUCCCCGUGUGUGAGCUCAUUAUGUUUAUCAUUAGGCCAGGGCUAUUUACAGAUCGGGGAGAGCAGCCCCUUGUCAUGCAAGCCGCAGACAUUUAUUGAGCACCAGCUGUGUGCUAGGUCAUGUGCUGGGUUCGAGGAAACAGUAGGGACAAGACGCCCUCCAGUGGGGGCCAGGGGAGACAUCAGGGUGGGCUUCCUGGAGGAGGCAACACAUACACUGAGAUUGGAAUGAUGACUCGAAAUUCGGUCCUGAAGAAGGGAAGGGAAGAGGAUUGUCGAGGCCUGGUUAAGAAUGAGCCACCGUGCCCGACCUAUUUAUUUAUUUAUUUUUGAGACGCAGUCUCGCUCGUCACGAGGCUGGGGUGCAGUGGCGCGAUCUUGGCUCACUGCAACCUCUGCCUCCUGGGUUCAAAUGAUUCCCCUGCCUCAGCCUUCUGAGUAGCUUGGACUACAGCCGUGUGUCACCAUGCCUGGCUAAUAUAUAUUUUUUUUUUUUGUAUUUUAGUAGAGACAAGAUUUCUCUAUGUUGGCCAGGAUGGUCUCGAUCUCCUGACCUCAUGUUCCACCCACCUCGGCCUCCCAAAGUGCUGGGAUUACAGGCAUGAGCCAUCGCGCCCGGGCUUUUAUUUUAAUUUCUAUUUAUUUAUUUAUUUUGAGAUGGAGUUUCACUCUUGUUGCCUAGGCUGGAGUGCAGUGGCACAAUCUCAGCUCACUGCAACCUCUGCCUCCCAGGUUCAAGUGAUUCCCCUGCCUCGGCCUCCUGAAUAGCUGAGAUUACAGGCACUCACCACCAUGCCUGGCUAAUUUUUGUAUUUUUAGUAGAGACGGGGUUUCACCAUGUUGGCCGGGCUGGUCUCAAAUUCCUGACCUCAAGUGAUUCGUCCACCUCAUCCUCCCAAAAUGCUGAGAUUACAGGCUUGAACCACCGCGCCCAACCGAGGUGUAUGUAUUUUUUUUUUUUUUUUUUUUUUUUUGAGACAGAGUCUCGCUCUGUCGCCCAGGCUGGAGUACACUGGGAUGAUCUUGGCUCACUGCAACCUCUGCCUUCCAGAUUCAAGCGAUUCUCCUGCCUCAGCCUCUCGAGUAGCUGGGACUACAGACGCGUACUGCCACGCCCAGCUAAUUUUUUGUAUUUUUAGUAGAGACGGGGUUUCACUGUGUUAGCCAGGAUUGUCUCGAUCUCCUGACCUCGUGAUCCACCCGCCUCAGCCUCCCAAAGUGCUGGGAGUACAGGCCUGAGCCACCGGUCCCAACCGAAGUGUAUGUAAUUUUUGAAUUUAUUUUUGCAGGCAGGCACUACUCAACAUGGUACAAUGUGUGCUUGUUCCUAUCUGCCUCCUGCUCUGGAAUGUCAACUCCAGGAGGGCAGACUUCUGUCUGUCUUGAAUGCCACAGUGUCCCCUGUACCUCAAAUACUGUUUGGCACACAGUAGGCACUCAAUACGUGUUUGUUUAUUCCGCAAACAACUAUGAAGCACCCACUGUGUUGUUCUCACACGGAGGUGGAGUUUUUCAUGCUCCGAGGACUUGGGGCAGAGAGAAGGACAAGUAGGAGCCACGGUGACUGCGACUUCCUUUUUUUUUUCUGCAGCCUCAGGUGCCAGCAGCAAUAACACAGGACCUCUAGGCAGAGGAAGGGAAGAGGCGCUGAGGGAGGCAGGGCUUCUGCGGCGGGGAGGGGGGGGCAGAGCCCCUGGGGAUCAGGCCAGGGAGGCGGGAGUCCUGCUGGAGUCCCUGGGGUCCCCAGCAGAGAGGCUGGCUGGCUGCCCUGCCCUGGCCUGGCUGCUUUUUCUGGCUUGGACGGGAAGGGCUGACACCGCCAGAGGAGGGCAGGGUGGAGGCGGGGAGGGGGCCCGCACCUGGACCCAGGAAGAGGUGGGGGAAAGAAGUGGAGCCUGGGAAGGGGAGACAGAGGAGGUGAGGAGAGAAAGAGAGAAACCAAGAGAGAUAGAAAGAGACCCACACAGAGAAGCUGAGCUGGAGUCAGACAGAUAAAAGACACGGAGAGACUCACGCAGAAGGUGGCAAAGACAGAAACACAGAGAGAUGGACAGAGACAGUCAGAGAUAAAGGGAGACUCAGAGAGACAGAGGAGACCCACAGAGAUACAGACUCAGAGAGAUAGAGAGACACAGACCUAGAGAGAGAGAGAACAACAGAGACAGAGAUAGAAAGAGAUAGUCAGAGAUAAAAGGAGACUCAGAGAGAUGGAGAAUUAGCCGGGCGUGGUGGCGGGCGCCUGUGAUCCCAGCUACUCGGGAGGCUGAGGCAGGAGAAUCGCUUGAACCCGGGAGGCAGAGGUUGCAGUGAACCGAGAUUGCACCACUGCACUCCAGCCUGGGAGACAGAGGGAGACUGUCCCCCCGCCAAAAAAGAGAGAGAGAGAGAGAGACAAAGAGACUUAGAGAGAGAGAGAGAGGGAAAGAAAGACAGGGAUAAAAGUAGAUUCAAAGAGACAGAGAGAAAACAAGAGAAAGGAGACCAAUAGAGAUCAAAAGAGGUAGUCAGAGAUAAAAAGAGACUCAGAGAGACCUAGAGACAGAGAAAGACAGAGACAGAGACUUAGAAAGAGAAUGGGGAAGAAACAGAGAGAUAGAGGCAGGCGAGAGGCUCCCUAGCCCAUCCCCCUCCCCAAUUUUCCUCUCUGGGGCACCCCUGGGGUCUGGGGCUCUAACCCUGUCCUGGUCCCCACCCCUCCCCCUAGCUGGUACUUCAGACCCCCUCCACAAACUGGCUGAGUGCCCCCAGUCCCUAACUCAGGGUCUCCUCAGCUCAGAGCUCCGGGGCUCAGCCCUGAGACCUUCUGGGAUUCAGGAUCCGAAUGCCCAGUGGAGCCAGAAUCUGAAUCCCAGAGGCAGGGACACCAUUAAUCCUGGAAAGAGGGCACCCCCUCCACCCGGGCCUGAGCUGAGAGCGGGGAGGCUGUCUAUAUGAAGCCCCCACUUCACACUUCCCACAGGAGAGAUUCACCCUGUUUCACAGGGGAGGAAACUGAGGCUUGGAGAAAGACGGGAUUGUGGAGAGGUACACGUUUGUUCAUCCAGAAAAUAUGCACUGAGAUGGGCGCAGUGGCUCAUGCCUGUAAUCCCAACACUUUGGGAGCCCGAGGUGGGCAGAUCACCUGAGGUCAGGAGUUCGAGACCAGCCUGACCAACAUGAUGAAACCCCGUCUCUACUUAAAAAUACAAAAAUUAGCCGGGCGUGGUGGCGGGCGCCUGUAAUCCCAGCUACUCAGGAGGCUGAGGGAGGAAAAUCGCUUGAACCUGGGAGGCAGAGGUUGCAGUGAGUGGAGAUCACGCCACUGCACUCCAGCCUGGGUGACAGAGUGAGACUCCGUCUCAAAAAAAAGAAAGAGAAAAAAAUGAGAGCGGGAAAGAAAGAAAGAAUACUGGGUAUCAUAUAAUUGACUCAUAAAUAUUUCAAUUUUUCAAUUUGUAUCUUUUUUUUUUUUUUUGAGACAGAGUUUCUCUCUUGUUGCACAGGCUGGCGUGCAAUGGCGCAAUCUCGGCUCACUGCAACCUCCACUUCCUGGGUUCAAGCAGUUCUCCUUCCUCUAACUGGGAUUAUAGGAGUGCGCUACCACGCCUGGCUAAUUUUGUAUUUUUAGUAAAGACAGGGUUUUACCACAUUGAUCAGGCUAGUCUUGAGCUCCUGACCUCAAGUGAUUCACCUGCCUAGGCCUCCCAAAGAGCUGGUAUUAUAGGCAUGACCAAUUGGUAUCUUUAAAAGAUAAGGAGGACUAUGCUGAAAAUUUUAACAAUGGCCACCUGCAGUGGCUCAUGCCUGUAAUCCCAGCACUUUGAGAGGCUGAGGCAGGUGGAUCACUGGAGGCCAAGAGUUCGAGACCAACCUGGCCAACAUGGUGAAAUGCCAUUUCUAAUAAAAAUACAAAAAUUAGCUGGGCGUGGUGGCAGGGGCCUGUAAUCCCAGCUACAUGGGAGGCUGAGGCAGGACAAUCAUUUGAACCAGGGAGGCAGAGGUUCCAGUGAGCCGAGAUCGUGCCACUGCACUCCAGCCUGGGCAACAGAAUGAGACGGAGUCUUGCUCUGUCACCCAGGCUGGAGUGCAGUGGCACGAUCUUAGGUCACUGCAAGCUCUGCCUCCCAGGUUCACGCCAUUCUCCUACCUCAGCCUCCU